GUCAAUUCCGGGCCGUGCUCGGGGGGUAGACGGGUGGGGCAAGUGUUAUCCGGAUGUAUUGGGUGUAAAGGGUCCGUAGGCGUACUUAUAAGUCAGUUGUGAAAGCCUGUCUCUUAACGAUAGAACUGCCAUUGAUACUGUAAGUCUGGAGUAUAAUUGAGGUAGCUGGAAUAAGUAGUGUAGCGGUGAAAUGCAUAGAUAUUACUUAGAACACCAAUUGCGAAGGCAGGUUACCAAGUUAUAACUGACGCUGAGGGACGAAAGCGUGGGGAGCGAACAGGAUUAGAUACCCUAGUAGUC
rnacentral:rRNA from 1 species